rnacentral:tRNA from 1 species
GCGGGUGCCGCUCAGUGGCAGAGCGCAUGCUCAGCAUGCAAGAGGGCCUGGGUUCAAGCCCCAGCACCUCUG